rnacentral:rRNA from 1 species
UACGAAGGGGGCUAGCGUUGCUCGGAAUUACUGGGCGUAAAGCGCACGUAGGCGGCUUUUUAAGUCAGAGGUGAAAUCCCGGGGCUCAACCCCGGAACUGCCUUUGAAACUGGAGAGCUAGAAUCUUGGAGAGGCGAGUGGAAUUCCGAGUGUAGAGGUGAAAUUCGUAGAUAUUCGGAAGAACACCAGUGGCGAAGGCGACUCGCUGGACAAGUAUUGACGCUGAGGUGCGAAAGCGUGGGGAGCAAACAGG